rnacentral:rRNA from 1 species
GAUGAACGCUGGCGGCGUGCCUAAUACAUGCAAGUCGAGCGAAUGGAUUAAGAGCUUGCUCUUAUGAAGUUAGCGGCGGACGGGUGGGUAACACGUGGGUAACCUGCCCAUAAGACUGGGAUAACUCCGGGAAACCGGGGCUAAUACCGGAUAACAUUUUGAACCGCAUGGUUCGAAAUUGAAAGGCGGCUUCGGCUGUCACUUAUGGAUGGGCCCGCGUCGCAUUAGCUAGUUGGUGAGGUAACGGCUCACCAAGGCAACGAUGCGUAGCCGACCUGGGAGGGUGAUGGGCCACACGGGGACUGCGACACGGCCCAGACGCCUACUGGGGGCCGCCGUAGCGAAGCUUCCGCAAUGGACGAAAGUCUGACGGGGCAACGCCGCGUGAGUGAUGAAGGCUUUCGGGCCGUAAAACUCUGUUGUUAGGGAAGAACAAGUGCUAGUUGAAUAAGCUGGCACCUUGACGGUACCUAACCAGAAAGCCACGGCUAACUACGUGCCAGCAGCCGCGGUAA